AAGGGUAUAGCUCAAGUGGUAGAGCGCAUGCUCACCAUGCAAGAGGUCCUGGGUUCAAUCCCCAGUACCUCCU
rnacentral:tRNA from 1 species